rnacentral:misc_RNA from 1 species
ACAAACUUGGUCAUUUAGAGGAAGUAAAAGUCGUAACAAGGUUUCCGUAGGUGAACCUGCGGAAGGAUCAUUACAAAAGAUACGAGCCGAGCGAAGCGAGGAGGCUAUUCUCCGAGCGAAGCGAGGUUCAAGUGCGCGCGCGUGUGUUAUAACACGUUAACGCACUAUUCACACGCAUCACUGCGCGUGGUGUGUUGUUUACCCGUGUUUACGCGGGAUUUUCUCGUUUAUGUCUUGUUUAUAUAUACAUACACUUUUAACAAUGGAUCUCUUGGCUCUUGCAUCGAUGAAGAACGCAGC